rnacentral:piRNA from 1 species
CACUAGACCAUUGGAUGAUGAUGAGGC